GCCUUCGUGGUGUAGUGGUUCUGCACGCUGGGCCAGUAUUCCAGAGGUCCGUGGUUCGAUUCCUGGCGAAGGCA
rnacentral:tRNA from 1 species